CCAAUUGUCCAUCAUUUUCUCUUUUCUUUUUCCUGGAGUAUAUACCUUUUUAUUUUUUAUUUUUAUUCCAAAUCUUUUUGUGGAAAUAGAAGCGAGAAGUGAGAUAAAUGGAGGGGAAAACGGAGAAGGAAAACAAGAGUGUGAAGAAGAAAGCAUGCGAUGUGGAGGCUCUGAAGAAGUGUUUGGAAGAAAAUAAAGGCGACUAUUUGAAAUGCCAGUCUCAUAUUGAAGCUUUUAAGUCAUCUUGCUCCAUCAACAACCCUAAUUCUUCUUCAGAAUAGCCCCCAAAACUCAGCUCCGGUUCGGAUUCCGAUCCUAUGAUUAUAACUUCUUGAAAUUUGAUACUGACAGCUUUCGUUAACUUCUUCUUUCAUUAUAAUGUUGGUAAUUAUUAGCUAUGCGUGCAAUAUUGGAAAAGCUUAUUCUUUGUCGUUGAUAAAGUUGGUCAAGUUGCAAGCUUGAAUGCAAAGAGAAUGGUUUUCUAUGAAAAUUAGAGCUUUUUUUUACUGUUUUGGGAUAAUAGUGAAGGUUUGAUUUACUGUGAAAGAAGAGUCUUUCAAUUCCAAUUGCUGUUGAUAAGUGUUUGUGCCCAAGGUCAGUUUAUUUCACAAAUACUAAUGCCUCGGGUUUUUGCUUGUGAAAGAGAGACUUUUUUGGUACUCUGGGGAUGUUUGUAACCGAGUCUAGUUGUAAUCCUUGGCUCUGCCAACUGGUGGAACCAGGAAUUGUAACAAGGGGAUUAGAAUAAUGCAAAACUUGCAGAUUGUGUGAAGGCACUUAGGUAUCAAGUGGAUUCAAAAAUUAUUUUAUAUAUAUAAAAAAAAUUGUUCUUGCCCUAUUUGCAUGGUGUAACUUUUCGAUGAAGGGGAUUCAGUUGAACCCCAUUCAGUACACUGCACCACUGUCUGCCAACACAUAUUGGUCUAUGACUUGAACGCAUUCGUAAGGCUCUAAAUGAGUUUCCUGCAAGAUUUGCCUUUUGGAAAGAAAGGAACAGGAUUUUCAGAGGGUUGAUAAAUCUUGCUCAGGGUGUAAACUAACAUUGUUACUCCAAAACUGGUACGUCCAGCAAAAGCUUCUCAGUUGCUGAUUAGUCAUUUAUGAUUCAAGCAUAUUAACCCAUUCAGAAAUUAGCAAUCUUAAUGAAAACAAAAGUGGAGGGGUGCAAUUGUUUUGUUUGCUAAUAGAUUAGGUGUUAUAUAUUGGUUAUGCUGUUUUAUUGGCUUAUCCAAGAAAAGCAAGUAAAAGUUGUGCUUGAAAAUAUUGAUGAGGAGAGGUGUGGUUUACAAAGUAAUGAUUGCUUGAUCUUUCUUUGCCAUAACUAAUUCGAUUUAUGUCUUUUCUAUGCUCACAUUUUAUGUGAAGGGAGCAUUCACUCAAGUUGCUGUUUAAAAUAGUGACUUCAAAUUUGGAUCACUAAUUAGUUGCCUGCCAACUUGGGUUGGGAGUUUCUGAUGAUUGUCAGAUUAGUUCAAUAAUUGCUGCAGUUGUAGAGGACCUCAGAUAAGCAACUUGAAUGAAGAUUGGAAGACCAAAGCCCUGUCUUCUGCUGUUAGCAGUAAUAAAGCCAAAAAGAAGAUUCUAAGUACAAUUCACUGCCUUGUUUGUAAAAGUGCACAACUAAGUCUAUAGGUUUCUCAUCUUUUUAAUUUCUUCAGCUUUAACCUGUUUCCACAUAUUCAGUGAUUCCAGAAAUAUGUGGUUUGUGGUAAGUAAGGAAGAGAGGGAAAUAAGUGCUGUUGGAUGGCAAUUAUAGAUUUUGCAUGGCUUUAGCAUGUUAUGCGUUUACUUACAUCAUGUCAAAUGUGAAGUCCGCAUAUUUGUCUAUUAGUGCCUCAGUUCCUUGAUAAGUUGCCAGAAAAAAUGGUCUUUAUUUUCUUUC